rnacentral:rRNA from 1 species
CUUUAUUGGAGAGUUUGAUCCUGGCUCAGGAUGAACGCUGGCGGCGUGCCUAAUACAUGCAAGUCGAGCGAAUGGAUUAAGAGCUUGCUCUUAUGAAGUUAGCGGCGGACGGGUGAGUAA